UUGUAUCUUCGAUUCACAUUCAUCCCACACUUAUUUCAAGAAUUCAUAUGUUCACAUUCAAGUGUUCCACAUUUUACACCAUCAUACUAUGAGAUUGUUACUAGAAUUUAAGUCAUUUCUGCCUUGUAGAAAUCGGCAGCGAGGCAGUGCUGGCUGCCGAUAUCUGAAUCGGCAGCGACGUAGUUUCUGGCUGCCGAUAUUGGAAUCCUUUUUAAUGCCUAAAAACAUAUAUCCAUUAAAUCAACGAACUCAAUGUCCCUUCAUCCAAAUUUCAAAACAUUCCUAACACAUUUUACAACACAAUUAAUCUAUAACAACACUAAUAACAAGAGCACAUUUUACCAUUAUAUCUUACAUAAACCCUACACCCACAUAAUUCUAAUUUCAUCAAAACAUGUAAUUAAAUCAAGCUUCCUAAAUGUUUUACUAAGACUAGCAAUAGAUUCAAAUAGAAACAACUCAUCCACCUUUGAUUAUUUCCUUGAACUCAACGGUCAGAAUAUAUAUCAUUGUGUUGUGUACAAUAUAUCUCAAAAUCAGAAUCAUCGAACGGUUGGAUCUCCAUAGAUCUGAAUAAAACCGAACUAACCUGAAAAUGGACGAGCUACUGUUCAACAUGAACCAAACCUUGCCGAAGAGUGUGUUUCCGAUCUCCACCGUCCAGAAUGUAGGUCAAAUCUAGGUGCAGCACAUAUCCAAAAUAGGCACGAUCCAACGGUGGAAGAGAGGAGACAAUCGGCCGGCGACCAAAACUGCCCUGUAGGUAUAUUUCUUUUGUUUUCCAGGACACUUCCGAUGAUGAUAGCUGCUCAAUGGAUUAUGUUCCUUCAAAUCCCUCCGGUCCGUUUAUAUAUAAGUGUGAGACGAACCAUAUAUCACAAUAUCAGCAUGAUCCAACGGUGGAUGCAAGAGAUAUAGCCACCGAAGCAUUAUUGGUUCAUCCAAAUCCUGCACCUCUAUGUAACCGAAUUCUCUAUUGUCCUCCCUUCAUCCAAAUUUCAAAACUUCCCUAACACAUUUUACAACACAAUUAAUCUAUAACAACACCAAUAACAAGAGCAAAUUUUACCAUUAUAUCUUACAUAAACCCUAUACCCACAUAAUUCUCAUUUCAUCAAAACAUGUAAUUAAAUCAAGCUUCCUAAAUGUUUUACUAAGACUAGCAAUAGAUUCAAAUAGCAACAACUCAUCCACCUUUGAUUAUUUCCUUGACCUCAACGGUCAUACUAUAUAUCAUUGUGUUGUGUACAAUAUAUCUCAAAAUCAGAAUAAUCCAACGGUUUGAUCUCCACAGAUUUGAAUAAACCCGAACUAACCUGAAAAUGGACGAGCUACUGUUCAACAUGAACCAAACCUUGCCGGAGAGUGCGUUUCCGAUCUCCACCGUCCAGAAUGUAGGCCACACCUAGGUGCACCACAUAUCCAAAAAUAGGCACGAUCCAACGGUGGAAGAGAGAGACAUCGGCCGGCGACCAAAACUGCCCUGCAGGUAUAUUUCCUUUUGUUUUCCAGGACACUUCCGAUGAUGAUGGAUGCUCAAUGGAUUAUGUUCCUUCAAAUCCCUCCGGUCAGUGUAUAGAGGAGUUUGAGAAGAACAAUAUAUCCAAAGAUCAACAUGAUCCAACGGUGGAUGCAAGAGAUAUGGCCACCGAAGCAUUAUUGGUUCAUCCAAAUCCUGCACCUCUAUGUAACCGAAUUCUCUAUUGUCUCUCACCCCUUUUCGUUUUUCUUUCUCUU
rnacentral:lncRNA from 1 species